CCAUGGGUGGCAGAACGGUUUAUGCAACAGACUGUAAAUCUGUACUAAGUAGGUUCGACUCCUACCCCAUGGA
rfam:Candidatus Daviesbacteria bacterium RIFCSPHIGHO2_01_FTLL_40_11 rifcsphigho2_01_scaffold_2156, whole genome shotgun sequence.